rnacentral:rRNA from 1 species
GUUGAUCCUGGCUCAGAUUGAACGCUGGCGGAAUGCUUUACACAUGCAAGUCGAACGGCAGCACGGGGCAACCUGGUGGCGAGUGGCGAACGGGUGAGUAAUACAUCGGAACGUGCCCAAUCGUGGGGGAUAACGUAGCGAAAGUUACGCUAAUACCGCAUACGAUCUACGGAUGAAAGCGGGGGAUCGCAAGACCUCGCGCGAAUGGAGCGGCCGAUGUCAGAUUAGGUAGUUGGUGGGGUAAAGGCUCACCAAGCCGACGAUCUGUAGCUGGUCUGAGAGGACGACCAGCCACACUGGGACUGAGACACGGCCCAGACUCCUACGGGAGGCAGCAGUGGGGAAUUUUGGACAAUGGGCGCAAGCCUGAUCCAGCCAUUCCGCGUGCAGGAUGAAGGCCUCGG